AGUAAGAUUUCCUUAAAAGUAACCAUUCGGUUGGUGAGGCUGCCAGUUUAUCCUUGUAAUCAGCUGCAAUGCCAGUUACAAGAUUUAGGGGCCAGUUUGCACCCAUAUUAUUUCAUUUAGUCUUCCAUAAUUUAUUCCAGCAUUAUGUACUGCCAGAAUCUUUCAAACGGUACGCAAAGAUAUAGCCCUCAAAUAUCAUAAGUUGGUGCCUAGACACUGCCUCCUAUACCAUAUCAGAAGUAUGUGUUCACUCCCAUCAGUCUGUGAGCAUCAGAACCCUGAGGCUGCAACAGAAUCUGUAGUCCCUUUGCACGAGCUUCAUUCCCCCCAAAAGAGGGUGAAUGACCUUUAGUUCAAAUUAUGCCAUGACUGGUGUAUGUAGCAUAUUUAAAUUAUCUCCUUCGUCACUGACCUUUCCAUCCAAUCAUGUAAAGCUUGCUCACCUGGAUGACUCACGAGGUCUCAUUCCCAGUGAGUGAAAUGACUUAUCUCUGAAAGACCAAAGCAUCCAUUUGUCAUUGUGUAUCUCUCCUAAAGCUUUUUCUUGAUGGGUUAAAACAUAGCUCACAAAUACCUUUAAAUGUGUUUUAUGUAUAUCUGUUUAAUCGUUUUCUAAAGAGGCCAGGUUUUAGUCCCAGACCCCCUACCUUCUCACUACAAACUUGGAAGUUGCUUUACUCCAUUUCUCCACUUUUACUUCCAUUAUUUGAUCUGAAAUUUGAGGAUGAAAUACCAAGUUCAAAAAUUUUAGGAACAUAGCUGAUAUUUUAAUUAUUUUUGAUGUGAGGAGAGAAUCUUUAAGUCUAGUAAACAUUUAACUUUUCAGAGAGAAAAUAGAUCAUCACUCAUCAUUACGGCAAAGAUGAACCUAGAAGACUGUUUACCAGAGGGGAAGAAGAGAGGGCAAAAUGCGUAAAGGGGGUCAUUUGUGUGGUGACAAAGGGAAAUUAGGCUUUUGGUGGUGAACAUGAUGUCAUGUAAACAGAAGUUGAAUAAUAAUGAAGUAUAUCUGAAAUCUAUAGAAUGUUAUGAAUCAAUGUUACCUCAGUAAAGAUAAAAGAAAUAAAAGAAUUAAAAUUAAAGAAAAAGUCUAGUUAGACUUGCCUCUUUAUUUCUCCAGCCACCCAGGACAUAGUCAGUAGCUACUGAGAUCAGCAGUUUUCUCUGGAGACGUUGGCAGUGCUGAACACUUUG
rnacentral:lncRNA from 1 species